AGUGAACGCUGGCGGUAGGCCUAGCACAUGCAAGUCGAACGGCAGCACAGUAAGAGCUUGCUCUUACGGGUGGCGAGUGGCGGACGGGUGAGGAAUACAUCGGAAUCUACUUUUUCGUGGGGGAUAACGUAGGGAAACUUACGCUAAUACCGCAUACGACCUACGGGUGAAAGCAGGGGAUCUUCGGACCUUGCGCGAUUGAAUGAGCCGAUGUCGGAUUAGCUAGUUGGCGGGGUAAAGGCCCACCAAGGCGACGAUCCGUAGCUGGUCUGAGAGGAUGAUCAGCCACACUGGAACUGAGACACGGUCCAGACUCCUACGGGAGGCAGCAGUGGGGAAUAUUGGACAAUGGGCGCAAGCCUGAUCCAGCCAUACCGCGUGGGUGAAGAAGGCCUUCGGGCUGUAAAGCCCUUUUGUUGGGAAAGAAAAGCAGCAGGUUAAUACCCCGCUGUUCUGACGGUACCCAAAGAAUAAGCACCGGCUAACUUCGU
rnacentral:rRNA from 1 species